rnacentral:rRNA from 1 species
UACAGAGGUCUCAAGCGUUGUUCGGAUUCAUUGGCGUAAAGGGUGCGUAGGUGGCGGGGUAAGUCGGAUGUGAAAUCUCAGGGCUCAACCUGAACUGCAUUCGAUACUGCCUUGCUCGAGGACUGGAGAGGAGAUUGGAAUUCACGGUGUAGCAGUGAAAUGCGUAGAUAUCGUGAGGAAGACCAGUGGCGAAGGCGGAUCUCUGGACAGUUCCUGACACUGAGGCACGAAGGCCAGGGAGCAAACGGG